rnacentral:rRNA from 1 species
GCGUGAGCGAAGAAGGCUUUCGGGUCGUAAAGCUCUGUCCUAUGGGAAGAAGAAGUGACGGUACCAUAGGAGGAAGCCCCGGCUAACUACGUGCCAGCAGCCGCGGUAAUACGUAGGGGGCGAGCGUUAUCCGGAAUUACUGGGCGUAAAGGGUGAGUAGGCGGCCAAAUAAGCCAGGGGUGAAAGGCUAGGGCUUAACCCUAGUAAGCCUUUGGAACUGUAUGGCUUGAGUGCAGGAGAGGAGAGUGGAAUUCCUAGUGUAGCGGUGAAAUGCGUAGAUAUUAGGAGGAACACCAGUGGCGAAGGCGACUCUCUGGACUGCAACUGACGCUGAGGCACGAAAGCGUGGGGAGCAAACAGGAUUAGAUACCCUGGUAGUCCACGCCGUAAACGAUGAGUGCUAGGUGUCGGGGGUUCACACCCUCGGUGCCGGAGUUAACGCAUUAAGCACUCCGC